AGUGAACGCUGGCGGUAGGCCUAACACAUGCAAGUCGAACGGCAGCACAGUAAGAGCUUGCUCUUACGGGUGGCGAGUGGCGGACGGGUGAGGAAUACAUCGGAAUCUACUUUUUCGUGGGGGAUAACGUAGGGAAACUUACGCUAAUACCGCAUACGACCUACGGGUGAAAGCAGAGGAUCUUCGGACCUUGCGCGAUUGAAUGAGCCGAUGUCGGAUUAGCUAGUUGGCGGGGUAAAGGCUCACCAAGGCGACGAUCCGUAGCUGGUCUGAGAGGAUGAUCAGCCACACUGGAACUGAGACACGGUCCAGACUCCUACGGGAGGCAGCAGUGGGGAAUAUUGCACAAUGGGCGCAAGCCUGAUCCAGCCAUACCGCGUGAGUGAAGAAGGCCUUCGGGUUGUAAAGCCCUUUUGUUGGGAAAGAAAAGCAGCAGGUUAAUCCCCCGCUGUUCUGACGGUACCCAAAGAAUAAGCACCGGCUAACUUCGUG
rnacentral:rRNA from 1 species